GGGGUUGUGGUCUAGUGGUAUGACGUUUCCUUAGCAUUCAGGUUCUCUCGAGGCCUGGAAAAGGUUCUGGGUUCGAUUCGUGAGUUACCCUU